rnacentral:rRNA from 1 species
AACGCUAGCGGCGUGCCUAACACAUGCAAGUCUAACGGGAAAGUCAGACUUCGGUUUGACAAGUACAGUGGCGCACGGGUGAGUAACGCGUGGAUAAUCUACCCUUGAGUGGGGAAUAACCUACCGAAAGGUGGGCUAAUACCGCAUACGACUACCGGUCUUAAGGCUGGUAGUUAAAGGCGGGGAUCCUUCGGGACCUGUCGCUUGGGGAUGAGUCCGCGUUCCAUCAGCUUGUUGGUGAGGUAAUGGCUUACCAAGGCUAAGACGGAUAGCUGGUCUGAGAGGACGAUCAGCCACACUGGGACUGAAACACGGCCCAGACUCCUACGGGAGGCAGCAGUGGGGAAUAUUGCGCAAUGGGGGAAACCCUGACGCAGCGACGUCGCGUGUAGGAAGAAGGCCUUCGGGUCGUAAACUACUGUCUGGAGGGAAGAAAUUCAUAUAGGUCAAUACCCUAUGUGAUUGACGGUACCUCCGAAGGAAGCAUCGGCUAACUACGUGCCAGCAGCCGCGGUAAUACGUAGGAUGCAAGCGUUGCUCGGAUUUACUGGGUGUAAAGCGCGCGUAGGUGGUCAGGCAAGUCAGGGGUGAAAUCCCUCGGCUCAACCGAGGAAUUGCCCUUGAAACUGCUUGACUUGAGUACUGGAGAGGAAAGCGGAAUUCCUGGUGUAGCGGUGAAAUGCGUAGAUAUCAGGAGGAACACCGGCGGCGAAGGCGGCUUUCUGGACAGAUACUGACACUGAGGCGCGAAAGCGUGG